rnacentral:rRNA from 1 species
GACGAACGCUGGCGGCGUGCUUAACACAUGCAAGUCGAGCGGUAAGGCCCUUCGGGUACGACGAGCGGCGAACGGGUGAGUAACACGUGGGUGACCUGCCUCUAGCUCUGGGAGUAAGCCUGGGAAACGUGGGUCUAAUACCGGAUAUGACUCCACGGCGCAUGUUGUGGGGUGGAAAGCCUUGUGCGGCUAGAGAUGGGCUCGCGGCCUAUCAGCUUGUUGGUGGGGUGANGGCCUACCAAGGCGACGACGGGUAGCCGGCCUGAGAGGGCGACCGGCCACACUGGGACUGAGACACGGCCCAGACUCCUAC